UGGGGAAUUUUGGACAAUGGGCGAAAGCCUGAUCCAGCAAUGCCGCGUGUGUGAAGAAGGCCUUCGGGUUGUAAAGCACUUUUGUCCGGAAAGAAAUCCUUGGCUCUAAUACAGGUCGGGGGAUGACGGUACCGGAAGAAUAAGCACCGGCUAACUACGUGCCAGCAGCCGCGGUAAUACGUAGGGUGCAAGCGUUAAUCGGAAUUACUGGGCGUAAAGCGUGCGCAGGCGGUUUGCUAAGACCGAUGUGAAAUCCCCGGGCUCAACCUGGGAACUGCAUUGGUGACUGGCAGGCUAGAGUAUGGCAGAGGGGGGUAGAAUUCCACGUGUAGCAGUGAAGUGCGUAGAGAUGUGGAGGAAUACCGAUGGCGAAGGCAGCCCCCCUGGGCCAAUACUGGCGCUCAUGCACGAAAGCGUGGGGAGCAAACAGGAUUAGAUACCCCUGGUAGUCCACGCCCUAAAACGAUGUCAACUAGUUGUUGGGGGAUUCAUUUCCUUAGUAACGUAGCUAACGCGUGAAGUUGACCGCCUGGGGGAGUACGGUCGCAAGAUUAAAACUUAAAUGAAUUGACGGGGUCAUAGCUGUUUCCU
rnacentral:rRNA from 1 species